GAUGAACGCUGGCGGCGUGCCUAAUACAUGCAAGUCGAGCGAAUGGAUUAAGAGCUUGCUCUUAUGAAGUUAGCGGCGGACGGGUGAGUAACACGUGGGUAACCUGCCCAUAAGACUGGGAUAACUCCGGGAAACCGGGGCUAAUACCGGAUAACAUUUUGAACCGCAUGGUUCGAAAUUGAAAGGCGGCUUCGGCUGUCCCUUAUGGAUGGACCCGCGUCGCAUUCGCUAGUUGGUGAGGUAACGGCUCACCAAGGCAACGAUGCGUAGCCGACCUGAGAGUGUGAUCGGCCACACUGGGACUGAGACACGGCCCAGACUCCUACGGGAGGCAGCAGUAGGGAAUCUUCCGCAUGGACGAAAGUCUGACGGAGCAACGCCGCGUGAGUGAUGAAGGCUUUCGGGUCGUAAAACUCUGUUGUUAGGGAAGAACAAGUGCUAGUUGAAUAAGCUGGCACCUUGACGGUACCUAACCAGAAAGCCACGGCUAACUACGUGCCAGCCGCCGCGGUAA
rnacentral:rRNA from 1 species